rnacentral:rRNA from 1 species
UACGUAGGGGGCAAGCGUUGUCCGGAAUCAUUGGGCGUAAAGCGCGUGUAGGCGGCUUGGUAAGUCUGCUCUGAAAGCCCGGGGCUCAACCCUGGGAGGCGGGUGGAUACUGCUGAGCUCGAGUCCGGAAGAGGCGAGUGGAAUUCCUGGUGUAGCGGUGAAAUGCGCAGAUAUCAGGAGGAACACCAGUGCGAAGGCGGCUCGUGG